rnacentral:rRNA from 1 species
UACGUAGGGGGCAAGCGUUGUCCGGAAUCAUUGGGCGUAAAGCGCGUGUAGGCGGUUCGGUAAGUCUGCUGUGAAAGUCCAGGGCUCAACCCUGGGAUGCCGGUGGAUACUGUCGGGCUAGAGUACGGAAGAGGCGAGUGGAAUUCCCCGGUGUAGCGGUGAAAUGCGCAGAUAUCGGGAGGAACACCAAUUGCGAAGGCAGCUCGCUGGGACGUCACUGACGCUGAGACGGCGA